rnacentral:rRNA from 1 species
UACGUAGGGUGCAAGCGUUGUCCGGAAUUAUUGGGCGUAAAGAGCUCGUAGGCGGUUUGUCGCGUCGGCCGUGAAAUCUCCACGCUUAACGUGGAGCGUGCGGUCGAUACGGGCAGACUUGAGUUCGGUAGGGGAGACUGGAAUUCCUGGUGUAGCGGUGAAAUGCGCAGAUAUCAGGAGGAACACCGAUGGCGAAGGCGACUAUCUGGGCUGAAACUGACGCUGAGGCGCGAAGGCUAGGGGAGCAAACAGG